rnacentral:rRNA from 1 species
CAGUCGCCGCGGGAAUACAGAGGGUGCGAGCGUUAAUCGGAUUUACUGGGCGUAAAGCGCGCGUAGGUGGUUUGUUAAGUUGGAUGUGAAAGCCCCGGGCUCAACCUGGGAACUGCAUCCAAAACUGGCAAGCUAGAGUACGGUAGAGGGUGGUGGAAUUUCCUGUGUAGCGGUGAAAUGCGUAGAUAUAGGAAGGAACACCAGUGGCGAAGGCGACCACCUGGACUGAUACUGACACUGAGGUGCGAAAGCGUGGGGAGCAAACAGGAUUAGAUACCCGCGUAGUCCCUGUCUCUUAUAU